AGUGAACGCUGGCGGUAGGCCUAACGCAUGCAAGUCGAACGGCAGCACAGUAAGAGUUUGCUCUUACGGGUGGCGAGUGGCGGACGGGUGAGGAAUACAUCGGAAUCUACUUUUUCGUGGGGGAUAACGUAGGGAAACUUACGCUAAUACCGCAUACGACCUACGGGUGAAAGCAGGGGAUCUUCGGACCUUGCGCGAUUGAAUGAGCCGAUGUCGGAUUAGCUAGUUGGCGGGGUAAAGGCCCACCAAGGCGACGAUCCGUAGCUGGUCUGAGAGGAUGAUCAGCCACACUGGAACUGAGACACGGUCCAGACUCCUACGGGAGGCAGCAGUGGGGAAUAUUGGACAAUGGGCGCAAGCCUGAUCCAGCCAUACCGCGUGGGUGAAGAAGGCCUUCGGGUUGUAAAGCCCUUUUGUUGGGAAAGAAAAGCAGCAGGUUAAUACCCCGCUGUUCUGACGGUACCCAAAGAAUAAGCACCGGCUAACUUCGUG
rnacentral:rRNA from 1 species